rnacentral:rRNA from 1 species
GAUGAACGCUGGCGGCGUGCCUAAUACAUGCAAGUCGAGCGAACGGACGAGAAGCUUGCUUCUCUGAUGUUAGCGGCGGACGGGUGAGUAACACGUGGAUAACCUACCCAUAAGACUGGGAUAACUUCGGGAAACCGGGGCUAAUACCGGAUAAUAUUUUGAACCGCAUGGUUCAAAAGUGAAAGACGGUCUUGCUGUCACUUAUGGAUGGAUCCGCGCUGCAUUAGUUAGUUGGUAAGGUAACGGCUUACCAAGGCAACGAUGCAUAGCCGACCUGAGAGGGUGAUCGGCCACACUGGAACUGAGACACGGUCCAGACUCCUACGGGAGGCAGCAGUAGGGAAUCUUCCGCAAUGGGCGAAAGCCUGACGGAGCAACGCCGCGUGAGUGAUGAAGGUCUUCGGAUCGUAAAACUCUGUUAUUAGGGAAGAACAUAUGUGUAAGUAACUGUGCACAUCUUGACGGUACCUAAUCAGAAAGCCACGGCUAACUACGUGCCAGCAGCCGCGGUAAUACGUAGGUGGCAAGCGUUAUCCGGAAUUAUUGGGCGUAAAGCGCGCGUAGGCGGUUUUUUAAGUCUGAUGUGAAAGCCCACGGCUCAACCGUGGAGGGUCAUUGGAAACUGGAAAACUUGAGUGCAGAAGAGGAAAGUGGAAUUCCAUGUGUAGCGGUGAAAUGCGCAGAGAUAUGGAGGAACACCAGUGGCGAAGGCGACUUUCUGGUCUGUAACUGACGCUGAUGUGCGAAAGCGUGGGGAUCAAACAGGAUUAGAUACCCUGGUAGUCCACGCCGUAAACGAUGAGUGCUAAGUGUUAGGGGGUUUCCGCCCCUUAGUGCUGCAGCUAACGCAUUAAGCACUCCGCCUGGGGAGUACGACCGCAAGGUUGAAACUCAAAGGAAUUGACGGGGACCCGCACAAGCGGUGGAGCAUGUGGUUUAAUUCGAAGCAACGCGAAGAACCUUACCAAAUCUUGACAUCCUUUGACAACUCUAGAGAUAGAGCCUUCCCCUUCGGGGGACAAAGUGACAGGUGGUGCAUGGUUGUCGUCAGCUCGUGUCGUGAGAUGUUGGGUUAAGUCCCGCAACGAGCGCAACCCUUAAGCUUAGUUGCCAUCAUUAAGUUGGGCACUCUAAGUUGACUGCCGGUGACAAACCGGAGGAAGGUGGGGAUGACGUCAAAUCAUCAUGCCCCUUAUGAUUUGGGCUACACACGUGCUACAAUGGACAAUACAAAGGGCAGCGAAACCGCGAGGUCAAGCAAAUCCCAUAAAGUUGUUCUCAGUUCGGAUUGUAGUCUGCAACUCGACUACAUGAAGCUGGAAUCGCUAGUAAUCGUAGAUCAGCAUGCUACGGUGAAUACGUUCCCGGGUCU